AUCCUUCCCAAGUGAGUACCUCAGUACCACUUGUAUUUCCUUUGAUGCAAUCCUUAGAAACACUGAUUCAAAGUCAUGAUUCAUGGAUGAACUCUCAGAGGGAGGAAGUCCCUGAACUCUAAAUCCCACCACUAUUUUUGCCAGUGAAUCAAACCCUAAGCUCUGUUUCUAGUGUGCGUUUGAAGUACACCACCCCAGUGAAUACCAGCUCUGUUAAUCUUCUAUCAUGAACUCAGCUGAUUCCAACACUGGAAAGAAAGCACUGUGGCUCUUGAUAGAACAUUUGUUGUGUUUCAGCUAUUACAUUUUUAUGAAGGACUUCAGACUGAUAGGAAAAACAUGGCUGAUGGGUUGAGCGCACAAUUGGUGCAGUUUCUUUUGAAGUGGAUAAUCCAGUACACGGCUGAGCAAAUGACAAACCAGAUGUGGAAUGAAAGGUACCCCUUGGGGCUCAGAGAACCUGAGAAACAAUGGAAUCUGCGGGACAUUUUUAGUGAAUCAGACCCUUGUUCUCCUCCACAAAAGAGGAGAGGAAGAAAAAAAAACACUGUGACACAUAAAACAUGCAGCAACUAAUUGGUGGCAACUUCUGCGAAUGGGAACAUGAACUGCAUGGCAUGUGGAUAAAAGAGAAAGCAUCUGCAAAACAUGUGAGGAAAACUGUGAAUAUAAUUCUAGCAAUUAUGAUUAUAGUGUUGUAUACGCUACUGCACUUAAUUACAAUUUUCUGUUCUUUUCAUGCUAUGGAAAUGGACUAAAUGGACUACAAAAUAUAUCUCAAAAGACAAGCAAUCUGUGGCAUGAAUAGGAUCCUUCUUUAUCUCAAUACAAUGAGGACUACAUUUCAUAAACAUGGCAGCAUCUCCCUGAUAAUUCUUCAGAACAGAAUUUUGAUUAAAAAAUGAACACUAUGAAAAAAAAUUAGCAGCUAUUAUUAUUUCAUCUGUGAACAUGAGUAGGAUUAUUAGGAGAAUUAAGAGGGUAAAAAAAAACAAUAACAACAAAAAACAACAAAAAGUAGUUUACUUUCAGAG
rnacentral:lncRNA from 1 species